rnacentral:tRNA from 1 species
GCCCCCUGACCUGCGGAGACGCGCGAGAUACACGGAGCCUCCGGAGCCGUGUACGCAGGUUCGAAUCCUGCCGGGGGCA